UGGGGAAUAUUGCACAAUGGGCGCAAGCCUGAUGCAGCCAUGCCGCGUGUGUGAAGAAGGCCUUCGGGUUGUAAAGCACUUUCAGCGGGGAGGAAGGCGUUAAGGUUAAUAACCUUGGCGAUUGACGUUACCCGCAGAAGGAGCACCGGCUAACUCCGUGCCAGCAGCCGCGGUAAUACGGAGGGUGCAAGCGUUAAUCGGAAUUACUGGGCGUAAAGCGCACGCAGGCGGUCUGUCAAGUCGGAUGUGAAAUCCCCGGGCUCAACCUGGGAACUGCAUUCGAAACUGGCAGGCUAGAGUCAUGUAGAGGGGGGUAGAAUUCCAGGUGUAGCGGUGAAAUGCGUAGAGAUCUGGAGGAAUACCGGUGGCGAAGGCGGCCCCCUGGACAAAGACUGACGCUCAGGUGCGAAAGCGUGGGGAGCAAACAGG
rnacentral:rRNA from 1 species